UACCUCAAAAUUCCGCAACAGUCUGUUUCAUCUUUAAACUUACUGAUGAAACAGACUGUUGCGGAAUUU